UACGUAGGGUGCGAGCGUUAAUCGGAAUUACUGGGCGUAAAGUGUGCGCAGGCGGCUUCGCAAGUCGAGUGUGAAAUCCCCCGAGCUUAACUUGGGAAUUGCGCUCGAAACUACGGAGCUGGAGUGUGGCAGAGGAAGGUGGAAUUCCACGUGUAGCGGUGAAAUGCGUAGAGAUGUGGAGGAACACCGAUGGCGAAGGCGGCUACCUGGACCAGCACUGACACUGAGGCACGAAAGCGUGGGGAGCAAACAGG
rnacentral:rRNA from 1 species